rnacentral:piRNA from 1 species
UGGCCCAGGUCAAACAAGUAGAGCAGGCUGU